rnacentral:rRNA from 1 species
AUUGAACGCUAGCGGCAUGCUUUACACAUGCAAGUCGAACGAGUGGCGGACGUGUGAGUUAUAUAUCUCAAAUUGCCCCUUAGCGGGGUAUAACUACUCGAAAGUGUGGCUAAUACCGCACACUAUUGUCUCUGCCGAUAUCGUAUUAGCUAGUUGGUGGUGUAAAGGCUCACCAAGUCAACUAUCCGUAGCUGGUUUGAGAGGACGACCAGCCACACUGGGACUGAGAAAAGGCCCAGACGCCUACGGGAGGCAGCAGUGGGGAAUUUUGGACAAUGGGGGAAACCCUGAUCCAGCCAUCCCGCGUGUAUGAGAAGGCCUUCGGGUUGUAAAGUACUUUUGGCAGAGAAGCGGUAUCUGCAGAAUAAGCACCGGCUAACUACGUGCCAGCAGCCGCGGUAAUUC